CAUGUCUUUUUGAAUUUAAUUUAAAGUCUGGCCUGCUCAAUGAAAUUUAAAUAGCCGCAGUAUUUUGACUGUGCAAAGGUAGCAUAAUAAUUAGUUUUUUGAUUAAGAACUAGAAUGAAGGGUUUGACAAGAAAAUGACUGUCUCUUUUUUAAUGUUUUUGAAUUUUAUUUUUAAGUGAAAAAGCUUAAAUUUGUAUAAAAGACGAGAAGACCCUAUAGAGUUUAAUAAUUCUUUAUAAUAAAAUAUUAGAAUAUUAAUUUAUUUAAUGAUUAUUUGAUUGGGGUGAUUAGAAGAAAUAUAUAAUUCUUUUACUAUUUAAUUGAUGAUUUUCAAUUUUUAAAUCUAUUAUUAAUAAAUUUAAAAUAAAUUACCUUAGGGAUAACAGCGUAAUUUUUCUUGGAAGGUCUUAUUUAAAGAAAAGUUUGCGACCUCGAUGUUGGAUUAAAAUUAAUUUUUGGUGCAGGAACUUAAAAAUUAGGUCUGUUCGACCUUUAAAAUUUUACAUGAUCUGAGUUUAGACCGGUGUGAGCCAGGUUGGAUUCUAUCUUUAGAAUAUUAUUAUAUUUUAGUACGAAAGGACAAAAUAUAAGUUAAAUUAAUUG
rnacentral:rRNA from 1 species